rnacentral:rRNA from 1 species
ACUCCUACGGGAGGCAGCAGUGGGGAAUUUUGCGCAAUGGGGGAAACCCUGACGCAGCAACGCCGCGUGAGUGAUGAAGGCCUUUGGGUCGUAAAGCUCUGUCAGAGGGGAAGAAAUGAUAUAGUGCUAAUACCACUUUAUCUUGACGGUACCCUCAAAGGAAGCACCGGCUAACUCCGUGCCAGCAGCCGCGGUAAUACGGAGGGUGCGAGCGUUGUUCGGAUUUAUUGGGCGUAAAGCGCGUGUAGGCGGUUUUUUAAGUCUGAUGUGAAAGCCCCGGGCUCAACCUGGGAAGUGCAUUGGAUACUGGGAGACUUGAAUACGGGAGAGGGUAGUGGAAUUCCUAGUGUAGGAGUGAAAUCCGUAGAUAUUAGGAGGAACACCGGUGGCGAAGGCGGCUACCUGGACCGAUAUUGACGCUGAGACGCGAAAGCGUGGGGAGCAAACAGGAUUAGAUACCCUGGUAGUCCACGCCGUAAACGAUGAGUACUAGGUGUUGCGGGUAUUGACCCCUGCAGUGCCGCAGCUAACGCAUUAAGUACUCCGCCUGGGAAGUACGGUCGCAAGACUAAAACUCAAAGGAAUUGACGG